rnacentral:lncRNA from 1 species
AAAAACUAGUCUUUCCAAGACUUUUAAGAAACAGAAACGUUUCCUUGAUCCAAAAUGAAUUCAAAGGAUUCUUUCAAAUCCUAAAGGGAAAUCAGAAAUUCGUUCCUUUUUAAAGUUUUCAACCAAAAGAAAUGUGGUCUUUAAUUGGAACAAGUUCUUUCCAAAUUGCAAGAACAAAAUCGUUCCCUCUCAAAAAUUUCAAAGGAACACUGAUUUCGUUCAAACAUUUUAAGAACCAGAAACAAAUUUCGUUCGUGAAUCUUUAAGGAUUAGAGGUAGAUUUCGUUCAAUCAAUGAAGGUUUUCUAACGAAAUAUUAUACGAAGUUUUCCCUGCUCCAGGUAUGUUAAGACUAUCUCUUCUUUCUUUUGGCAUGAUCCAUACGAUAUGAACGAAACGUGCAAAUGCACAAAUUCCAAAAGUGACUCUACUCAUAGGAGUAAUAGAAAUAUCUAUGUUCUUUAAUUUCCAGGUGUCAUAAUAUUUUAUCAUCUGUUCAUGGGUCUCAGAAAAAUACGAAAGUUGAAAGGAGGUUACAUUAUGAUAUUGCUCAAGGGGCAAAAUGGUCUUAUGACAUUCUGAAUGAUUUUAUUAACGUACAUUUAAUGAAUUGCAUCCACGUGCAUUAACCCAUGACCAGAUGGCAUUAUAUAUGCGUAUAUAUGUAAAUAUAUUUAUAUGGGAUAUGGGAAAAGGUUAUGGCGUUAUAUACGCACCACCACCUAAUCAGCUGGUAUAUGAUGAUGAUGUUGCCCACAGUGGCUGAAAUAUGAUUCAAACGGCGUUAUAUACGCAUAUAUGGGUAUGUAUUCAAAUGGCGUUAUAUACGCAUAUAUAUGUAUGUAUUCAAACGGCGUUAUAUACGCGUAUAUAUGUAUGUAUAUAUAUGUAUAUGGGAUAUGAGAAAGGUUAUGGCGUUAUAUACGCACCACCACCUGAUCAACUGGUAUACGAUGAUGAUUUUGCCCACAGUGGCUGAUAUGAUAUGAUGGGAUGCCCUCAGAGGCUGAUGAUGUUAUGAAACAUGUACUUAUGCGCGGCAUGAUAUUCAUACGCAUAUGCGUGACGCUAAAAGUAAUUUAUGAUUUACAAAGUUAUUCACACUUACAGGAUGAGUCGUGUACUCUAUAUUUCUUCCAUGUCUCUUAUGUACUUAUUUAUAUGCCUUACAUACUCGGUACAUUAUUUGUACUGACGCCCCUUUUGCCUGGGGACGCUGCGUUUCAUGCCUGUAGGUCCCGAUAGACAGGUCGAGAGCCCUCCAAGUAGGCUAUCAGCUCAACGGAAGAUGUUGGUGCGCUCCAUUUGCUUCGGAGUUGCUUGUUUGGUUAGUAUGAUUUAGACGUGUAUUGUUUGGUAUGGCGGGACUCUAUCCCGACCAUUAUGAUAUUUAUGUAUUCUUAGAGGCUUGUCGACAUAUGUCGUGUAUGUGAAAGAUUGUACGGCCUUGUCGGCCUAUGUUUUGAGUUUAUAAAAGAUCAUGUUGCCCUAUUA